CAACACCACCAGCUGCCGUAGAACUGUCUCUCACUGCCCUGCAACACCACCAGCUGCCGUAGAACUGCCUGCCUCACUGUCCUGCAACACCACCAGAGCUUUUGGAAAUUCGGCUCCUCUAUCUAGUCGGCACCUCCUGCUCCCUCCAGAUUCUUCAAGUAUCUGCUGCCCUGAUGGAGGGGAGAGUGGAGCUGAAGGAGUGAGUAGAAGAGCUUGAGCACAAGUGCAUCCAAGGGGAGACAGGCCGUGCUGUCCACAUUCUUGCAACUCAGGCUGUCUCCUGGUCUUCGAAAGGUCCUUUUUGGCACGGCUCUUGGUACGGUCGCCCUAGCCCUGGCUGCACACCAGCUAAAACGGCACAAGCACAAGAAGAAGCAGAUUACAGCAGGCAAUGGAGGCCUAAAGCUCGGCGGGGUGCCUGGCUCUGUUUUGCCCGUUAGGCGUUCUUCCUCAGCUAAAAAAGUUAAACAUAAAAUGCUUCUAGUCAUCUAUACUUGGGGACGCUGGGAAUCAGAAAGCAGAUUGUUGUCAGAGAUGGACUUGGAGUACUCCUGAGCGAGACGCCUGCUGCCCAUUUGGAGGCUGCAAAUCUCUGUCUGACUCUGCUCCCUACAGUGUGGAUGGUGAGUCGCGGUAUCCGGCAGGAGGGCUGGUGUGACGUACUUAAGGCUUUUCAGCUCACAGGGAAAUUUUAAACAUAAAAUGCUUCUAGUCAUCUAUACUUGGGGACGCUGGGAAUCAGAAAGCAGAUUGUUGUCAGAGAUGGACUUGGAGUACUCCUGAGUGAGACGCCUGCUGCCCAUUUGGAGGCUGCAAAUCUCUGCCGGACUCUGCUCCCUACAGUGUGGAUGGUGAGUCGCGGUAUCCGGCAGGAGGACUGGUGUGACGUACUUAAGGCUUUUCAGCUCACAGGGAAAUUCAGUGAGACUUCCGGAAGCUUUCUCUGUUGGUUCCAAGUUCCGGCCUUUGCCUUGUAUUGUGAAAAAGAAGAAAUCAGUAGAAGGAGGGUCAGAUUGGAGGGGGUUCUCUGGCCUCUGCUGCAGCCACCGCCCCACAUUCAUCCUGACAACCUUGGGCAGAAAACCAGAAAAAUACAAUUACCAGAAAAGCUGAGGCGGGGCAAUGACCAGACGUUGGACCUUCAUGGAGCGACUCGGUCAAAGGUUGAACCUUUUGAGAGGAGCUUGAACUGAUAAUUCUGACUGGCUGAAAAGCACUGCCCUAAGGUAAAAAGCAACUCAGACACAGGGGGAAGAUAGAAUCUCCUAGAGCUCCAUGAGGCGUGAGAACCUUGCUUCUGGGGCAGCAUUGCUGAGGCGGGGCAAUGACCAGACGUUGGACCUUCAUGGAG